rnacentral:rRNA from 1 species
AUGAACUUGAUGGAUGAUUUCGAGACUUCUCUGCUAGUUUUUGAGGGGUUUCGAGACCGACAUCACAGCGGAAAGAGCCGUAGCAUCUGCAAACAAAAAGGCUACGGGCCGUUUUCAGGAGCUGAAUCAAAAGAAGUACCGAACUCCCUUACUAAUAGGAACUGGCCUUCUAGUACUUCAAAAUUUAUGUGGGAUAAAUGGAUACUGUUUUACGCAAGUAGAAUCUUCAGAGCUGCAGGGUUCACAAACAGUGACCUGGCCACAUGUGCACUUGGAGCUAUUCAGGUUCUCGCCACCGGAGUUACAACCUCGCUACUUGAUAAAGCUGGCCGACGGAUGCUCCUUAUUAUCUCUACUGCUGGGACGACUCUAAGCCUUCUUGCAAUUUCUGUUGCAUUUUUCCUCAAGGAUAAUCUACCACAUGACUCUCACUCGGACUACAUCUUAAGCAUGGUGUCCUUGGUGGCUCUUGUGGCUUAUAUCAUCACCUUCUCCUUCGGCAUGGGUGCCAUUCCAUGGGUCAUAAUGUCCGAGAUCCUCCCGGUGGGCAUCAAGAGCUUCGCGGGGAGCUUCGCGACGCUGGCCAACAUGCUCACUUCCUUCGGGGUGACAAUGACGGCGAACCUGCUACUGAGCUGGAGCGCUGGCGGGACCUUCGCAUCGUACAUGGUCGUGAGCGCGUUCGCCCUCGUGUUCGUCAUCCUUUGGGUGCCGGAGACCAAGGGGAGGACCCUGGAGGAGAUACAAUGGUCGUUCCGCGGGAACGAGCAGCCCCAGAAAGGCCGUGUGUUAUGUUUCCUGCCGACGCUGUGCGGCUGGGCCGGGCUUUGA